rnacentral:lncRNA from 1 species
CGGGCAUCCACUCCUUAUCCUUGGCCUUGCCUCCGCGAGCUCCGUGGCUUCGGCCCCAGCCUGGUCCACGGCAGUGACCCCGGCCUCGGAUGCCACUGCCGAAACCUCCACGGAAGCCACCAUGGUUCCCCAUCCCAGGGCCCCGGGGCCUCCGGGACUCCCCCCGCAACCCAAUGCCGGCUGCGCCGGCGUCAUCCGCCAUUUGGUGUUUUCUCGGAGAAGAAGCUACAUGUGGAAUAUAUUAACGCAACAAAUUGUGCGUACUUGCUAGACAUUAGGCAUGAUAGCAAGUGCUAGGGUUACAAAGUAUUGCUUUUUGGGGAACCCAUGGUUGUUGGGGAGAAACCAGAAGAUCAGUCAUCACAGUGCGGCAAGAUCAGACUUGUGGUUUGUUCAGGUUCUGGGAGCCGUCACUGCAGUGAGAAUGGGGGAUCUGCAAGGCAGCCCUAAAUUCCAAGCAGGACAUGUAACUCCUCAAUGGACAAAUGGACACUGGACCCUGGUUGAAGGAACCUGUUGUUCUUAUGGUGGAGGGCAGAAACCCAAGAGGGCUGGAGCCAAUCCAUGAAAGAGGUUUAAUUGACUCAGAGUUCCAUAUGGCUGGGGAGGCCUUGCG